rnacentral:rRNA from 1 species
GAUGAACGCUGGCGGCGUGCCUAACACAUGCAAGUCGAGCGGCCGCACGGGUGCUUGCACCCGGUGGCGUGAGGGGCACGGGGGUGAGUUACAUCGGGACAUGUCCUCUAGAGGGGGAUAGCCAGGCGGAAGAAGGGGUGAUACUACCGACGAACUUAGGAUGAAGGAGGGGGCAAUAGGGGCAUAGGGCUUUAGGGUUAGCUGUAGGCUGAUCCGCGCCGGAUUAGCUAGUUGGUAAGGUAAAGGCCUACCAAGGCAACGAUGAGUAGCUGGUCUGAGAGGACGACCGGCCACACUGGGACUGAGACACGGUCCAGACUCCUACGGGAGGCAGCAGUAGGGAAUCUUGGGCAAUGGGCGAAAGCCUGAUCGAGCAACGCCGCGUGAGUGAAGAAGGUCUUCGGGUUGUAAAGCUCUGUUAUCCGGGAAGAAAAACUGUGCCCGAAAACGGGCACGGGAUGACGGUACCUGAUGAGUAAGCCCCGGCUAACUACGUG